rnacentral:rRNA from 1 species
UACGAAGGGGGCUAGCGUUGUUCGGAAUACUGGGCGUAAAGCGCACGUAGGCGGAUACUUAAGUUAGGGGUGAAAUCCCAGAGCUCAACUCUGGAAACUGCCUUUAAUACUGGGGUAUCUCGAGUCCGGAAGAGGUGAGUGGAAUUCCGAGUGUAGAGGUGAAAUUCGUAGAUAUUCGGAAGAACACCAGUGGCGAAGGCGGCUCACUGGCCCGGUACUGACGCUGAGGCGCGAAAGCGUGGGGAGCAAACAGG